UACGAAGGGGGCUAGCGUUGCUCGGAAUUACUGGGCGUAAAGCGCACGUAGGCGGCUUGCUAAGUCAGGGGUGAAAUCCUGGAGCUCAACUCCAGAACUGCCUUUGAUACUGGCGACCUUGAGUCCGGGAGAGGUGAGUGGAACUGCGAGUGUAGAGGUGAAAUUCGUAGAUAUUGGGAAGAACACCGGUGUCGAAGGCGGCGACCUGGUCCGAUACUGACGCUGAGGCGCGAAAGCGUGGGGAGCAAACAGG
rnacentral:rRNA from 1 species